rnacentral:rRNA from 1 species
AGAGUUUGAUCAUGGCUCAGAACGAACGCUGGCGGCAGGCUUAACACAUGCAAGUCGAACGCAUCCUUCGGGGUGAGUGGCAGACGGGGGAGUAACGCGUGGGAACGUGCCCUUCAGUUCGGGAUAACCCAGGGAAACUUGGGCUAAUACCGGAUACGUGCGAGAGCAGAAAGAUUUAUCGCUGAAGGAUCGGCCCGCGUCUGAUUAGCUGGUUGGUAGGGUAAUGGCCUACCAAGGCGACGAUCAGUAGCUGGUCUGAGAGGAUGAUCAGCCACAUUGGGACUGAGACACGGCCCAAACUCCUACGGGAGGCAGCAGUGGGGAAUAUUGGACAAUGGGCGCAAGCCUGAUCCAGCCAUGCCGCGUGAGUGAUGAAGGCCUUAGGGUUGUAAAGCUCUUUCGUCCGGGACGAUAAUGACGGUACCGGAAGAAGAAGCCCCGGCUAACUUCGUGCCAGCAGCCGCGGUAAUACGAAGGGGGCUGGCGUUGUUCGGAAUCACUGGGCGUAAAGGGCGCGUAGGCGGCUUUGUAAGUCGGGGGUGAAAGCCUGUGGCUCAACCACAGAAUUGCCUUCGAUACUGCAUGGCUUGAGACCGGAAGAGGUAAGUGGAACUGCGAGUGUAGAGGUGAAAUUCGUAGAUAUUCGCAAGAACACCAGUGGCGAAGGCGGCUUACUGGUCCGGUUCUGACGCUGAGGCGCGAAAGCGUGGGGGAGCAAACAGGAUUAGAUACCCUGGUAGUCCACGCCGUAAACGAUGAAUGCCAGCCGUUGGCGAGCUUGCUCGUCAGUGGCGCAGCUAACGCUUUAAGCAUUCCGCCU